GCCCUUGUGGAUCAGUGGUAGAUCUUCCACUCAACUUUUGAAGAUGAUGAAAUGGUCAGUGGACGACGUGGGUUCGACUCCCACCGAGAGCU